rnacentral:rRNA from 1 species
UCCUGACUGACCGAUAGUGAACCAGUACCGUGAGGGAAAGGCGAAAAGAACCCCGGCGAGGGGAGUGAAAAAGAACCUGAAACCGUGUACGUACAAGCAGUGGGAGCCUCUUUUAUGGGGUGACUGCGUACCUUUUGUAUAAUGGGUCAGCGACUUAUAUUCUGUAGCAAGGUUAACCGAAUAGGGGAGCCGAAGGGAAACCGAGUCUUAACUGGGCGUUAAGUUGCAGGGUAUAGACCCGAAACCCGGUGAUCUAGCCAUGGGCAGGUUGAAGGUUGGGUAACACUAACUGGAGGACCGAACCGACUAAUGUUGAAAAAUUAGCGGAUGACUUGUGGCUGGGGGUGAAAGGCCAAUCAAACCGGGAGAUAGCUGGUUCUCCCCGAAAGCUAUUUAGGUAGCGCCUCGUGAAUUCAUCUCCGGGGGUAGAGCACUGUUUCGGCAAGGGGGUCAUCCCGACUUACCAACCCGAUGCAAACUGCGAAUACCGGAGAAUGUUAUCACGGGAGACACACGGCGGGUGCUAACGUCCGUCGUGAAGAGGGAAACAACCCAGACCGCCAGCUAAGGUCCCAAAGUCAUGGUUAAGUGGGAAACGAUGUGGGAAGGCCCAGACAGCCAGGAUGUUGGCUUAGAAGCAGCCAUCAUUUAAAGAAAGCGUAAUAGCUCACUGGUCGAGUCGGCCUGCGCGGAAGAUGUAACGGGGCUAAACCAUGCACCGAAGCUGCGGCAGCGACGCUUAUGCGUUGUUGGGUAGGGGAGCGUUCUGUAAGCCUGUGAAGGUGUGCUGUGAGGCAUGCUGGAGGUAUCAGAAGUGCGAAUGCUGACAUAAGUAACGAUAAAGCGGGUGAAAAGCCCGCUCGCCGGAAGACCAAGGGUUCCUGUCCAACGUUAAUCGGGGCAGGGUGAGUCGACCCCUAAGGCGAGGCCGAAAGGCGUAGUCGAUGGGAAACAGGUUAAUAUUCCUGUACUUGGUGUUACUGCGAAGGGGGGACGGAGAAGGCUAUGUUGGCCGGGCGACGGUUGUCCCGGUUUAAGCGUGUAGGCUGGUUUUCCAGGCAAAUCCGGAAAAUCAAGGCUGAGGCGUGAUGACGAGGCACUACGGUGCUGAAGCAACAAAUGCCCUGCUUCCAGGAAAAGCCUCUAAGCAUCAGGUAACAUCAAAUCGUACCCCAAACCGACACAGGUGGUCAGGUAGAGAAUACCAAGGCGCUUGAGAGAACUCGGGUGAAGGAACUAGGCAAAAUGGUGCCGUAACUUCGGGAGAAGGCACGCUGAUAUGUAGGUGAAGCGACUUGCUCGUGGAGCUGAAAUCAGUCGAAGAUACCAGCUGGCUGCAACUGUUUAUUAAAAACACAGCACUGUGCAAACACGAAAGUGGACGUAUACGGUGUGACGCCUGCCCGGUGCCGGAAGGUUAAUUGAUGGGGUCAGCGCAAGCGAAGCUCUUGAUCGAAGCCCCGGUAAACGGCGGCCGUAACUAUAACGGUCCUAAGGUAGCGAAAUUCCUUGUCGGGUAAGUUCCGACCUGCACGAAUGGCGUAAUGAUGGCCAGGCUGUCUCCACCCGAGACUCAGUGAAAUUGAACUCGCUGUGAAGAUGCAGUGUACCCGCGGCAAGACGGAAAGACCCCGUGAACCUUUACUAUAGCUUGACACUGAACAUUGAGCCUUGAUG